CGGGUAAAGAACUGUCAACACGAACAACAAUUCUUUUUCAAUUUGAUUUUUACCACGAGUAGUCGACACCGAUAGCAGAGUUUAAUUGGAUAUAUCAAUCAGUUAAUCCCAACACUACAAUUUAUAGCUAGUGCUACUACGCUAAUAAAAGGCCGUCUCUCAAGAAAAAUGGAAUUAAAAGAGCCAUAUGACGGUAUAUUAGUCUAACAACCAGCGCCGACACUCCAUUACGCCUGCUGACAUACUGCACAUUCUUUCACGUCGUCUUCCUCAUCAGUUUCAGCGAAUGCGAUUCGUGCCCCAACAAAAUUCGAAAUAAGACAUUUUCAUCGAUAUAAGAACCAUUCAUUUUCAUUUGACAAUUUGAUAAUUUCUCUUCAGUGUGAAGAAUGAAAGAACUCAAACUAGACUGUACGAAGGUGAAAUAAUAUUCUCUUUAUUGAGCGUGAAGAGAUAGCAGCAUGAAAUUGAAAGGCGAUAGGUCCAUUAUUGAGUGAAGAUGUGUCAAUUGAAGUAAAAUUGUAAAGCCCUGCAUCUAACCCACGAUUUCGUCUCACCCUUCUUAUGUUCCUGUUCGAACUCAACCCUCGUCCUCGCCUUCCCCGUGUCAAGGUGGAUGGACACGCAUCUGGAACUAGCCCGUGGGUUGUUUUUCAGGCCAACGCGGAAUGGAAAAUGCCUUAAUGUGAUUCAGAUCAUGAAAGCUCUGGACAGAUAUGUUUUCAUAUCUGAAAUAUCCAGGAUAAGACCAAACAAACUGCGAGUUGCCGGCCGGAAACACGAAAACCAAACUGUUUUUUUUCCAAAUUAUUUAUUUGUAAGGUUCAAACGCAUUAGCUUUGCAGAGCCGCUUAUUCAGUUUUGCUUACAUUGUUCAAUCUUAAAUCUAUGGUUAUAAGGAUUCGACCGAUUACUCACAGUUUACUCGAGGUUAAGGGAGCAACAAUAGGACUGGUCAGCUUUGAGAUAUGGAAAUUGGAUAACGUUGUCUCAACCGAGAGUCGCCACAAGCACUGAAGCGUUGUUCAUUAGAACCAGGGAUGGCAUCUGGUGUUAU